UACGUAGGGUGCGAGCGUUGUCCGGAAUUACUGGGCGUAAAGAGCUCGUAGGUGGUUUGUCGCGUCUGCCGUGAAAGUCCGGGGCUCAACUCCGGAUCUGCGGUGGGUACGGGCAGACUAGAGUGAUGUAGGGGAGACUGGAAUUCCUGGUGUAGCGGUGAAAUGCGCAGAUAUCAGGAGGAACACCGGUGGCGAAGGCGGGUCUCUGGGCAACAACUGACGCUGAGGAGCGAAAGCGUGGGGAGCGAACAGG
rnacentral:rRNA from 1 species